rnacentral:lncRNA from 1 species
CUAUGCCCUAGGGCUAGUGGAAGACUUAAGAUGGCGGCGUUUGCACGGAGUGCAAUCACUGCGUCCUUACGGGGGUUGCAAGGCGUCCGAAGUAUGAGUCCAGUAACAAAAGGCCAGAAACUCGCCAGUUAAUAGUAUUGUGUCUCUUCAAAAUAUCGGAGAAUAAUUUCUUUCUCGCUGAUCGCCUAACUUCUACUGACGAAGCUAGGAAGUUGCAGAAGAUGGAGUUCGCUCUUGUUGCCCAGGCUGGAAUGCAAUGGCAUGACCUUGGCUCACUGCAACCUCUGCCUCCCCAGUUCAAGUGAUUCUCCUGCCUCAGCCUCCCGAGUAGCUGGGAUUAUAGAAAUACAAAAAAAAUUCUAAAACUUGUAUGGAACUACAAAAGACAUUAAAUAAUCAAAGUAAUCUUGAGCAACAAGGACACAGCUGGAGGCAUCACUCUACCUGAUUUUGUAAUCCAUUAUCAAAAAACUGUGGUACCAGCAUAAAAGCAGAUUCACUGACCAGUGGAACAGGAAAGCCCAGACAUAACUCAUACAUUUCCAUCCAAUUGAUUUUUGACAAAAGUGGCACACAGAAUGGGGAGAGGAUAAAUAAAUAAAUUGUUUUGAGAUAUCUGUA